UGUCUACUGUGCUUGCUGGCAGCCUAGCCACAGGAGGACAGAGAGAGAAAAGUCCAAUCAACAUGAUAUCAUCAAUAUAAUGGACCAGUGUGAUGUCUUAUGGAAUGGAGAGAUGAUCAACGUCUCUGUAGACAAUAUCAUGAUAUACGGCUGAAGAGUUGAUACACCCCUGAGUUCUGCUGACUUCUGGCUUCUGACUCCUGCCAGUGGCUUUCUUCAUAUAAGGCUCCACUAAUAGGAUUAAAACCCACCCUGAUUCACUUGACCAUGUCUUAACUAAAAAUAGCAUAUUCAAAUGUCCUACUUAUAAUGGGUUUGCCCCUACAGGGACAUGGAUUAAGGUGAAGAACAUGUUUGUUUGUUUGUUUGUUUUCCUGGGGUGCAUAACUCAGUCUGCCACGAAGGCCUAAUAUGCAAAAUAAAU